rnacentral:rRNA from 1 species
CCUACGGGAGGCAGCAGUGAGGAAUAUUGGUCAAUGGGCGGGAGCCUGAACCAGCCAAGCCGCGUGAGGGAAGAAGGUACAGCGUAUCGUAACCCUCUUUUGUCAGGGAACAAAGGCGGGGACUAGUCCCCGGAUGAGGGUACCUGAAGAAAAAGCAUCGGCUAACCCCGUGCCAGCAGCCGCGGUAAUACGGAGGAUGCGAGCGUUAUCCGGAUUUAUUGGGAUUAAAGGGUGCGCAGGCGGCCUGUUAAGUCAGCGGUAAAAGCCCGUGGCUCAACCCCGGCGAGCCGUUGAACGUGGCGGGCUGGAGUGGGAGAGAAGUACGAGGACUGCGCGGUGUAGCGGGGAAAUGCUGAGAGAUCGCGCAGAA